rnacentral:lncRNA from 10 species
CUAUCACUAAUUGGAGGAUUACUGCUCCAUCUGGAAACCAGAAGAGAACUGUCAUCCCAGGGCUCGGUUUCCAUUUCAGACCUGGGACACACUUCGGCCCUUGGACAUCAGAACUUCAGGCUUUUUGGCCUUAGGAUUCCAGGACUUACACCAGCAACUCCCUGGGUUCUCAGAGGUAUUUGGCCUUGGCCUGAAAGUUACACAUUAGCUUUCCUGGUUCCAAAGACUUCGGACUUGGACUGAGCCAUGCUUCCAGCAUUCCAGGGUCUCCAGCUUAGAGAUGGCCUACCACAGGACUUCUCAGCUUCCACAAUCAUUGUGAGAAAAUAAUUCCCCUUUUCUCUACUGAAUGAAAAUUCAUGCAGAACAUUAAGCACACACAGAUAAACACACACGAGUAUAUAAAACUUGUAAAGUCAAAGAUAAGAAUGUCUGUCUCCACGUGCUAUCCUUGGAUGGGGGCCCCUUCUCCUGGUAGCUCCUAAGAUAUUUCCACAGCCUCUUAGGGCUUUUACAGGACUGUUUGAAAACUACUCUCAUAGAUAGAUAUGGUUGUUCAGUUUUCAUUCAUUUCUAGUAUCAGCAAAUACAGAUGGUCCUUAUCAACUUACAUUAUUUAAAGCAUAAAACAUACAUUGAAAUAUACUUCCUGUUCUUUGCAAUUAGUUAUUUAGAAACACAAAUGUCACUUGAAUUCAGAUUUGCGGCCAGAGAGAAUAAUAAACUUUUCAGAAAUAAUUUCUAAAACAUUCAAAAUCUUUAAGGAUGUUGGUUCAUUUCUAUGAAAUACAGCUGGAAAUACAAUUCUAUUGUUCUGUUUUGGCUUGCAUGGUGCCUACAGCUCCUCAUAGCUCUGUGUGUGUUGGUGAUUAUGUGAAAUAGCACAGCACAGCAUGAGUUCUGUAGUCCUCACUUCUGCCAACCUCCUGCAUUUACUUCAUAGUUGCUCACCUCUCAGGAUCAAGCUGACUGGUCACACCUUAUAUAUCUGCAGUCUCAAAGGCAAAUAGCCACCAAUGAGCAUGAUCUGUAUGAGCCAGAAAAGUAUGUGUCUUUUCAACAGAGUUGACACUGGCCCUUCCUUGUUUGUCGUUUGGUGGAUGGCCCAGCUAGAAUCUUUUGAAUGAUCUCUCUAGUGACAAGAUAUCUGAAUUCCUGCAAUUCUGAAAAAAAGUUAAAUUCAAUUUUCCUCUGUUAGAUCAACAAGUAUAGCACGGAAAUUUCCAAUAGCAUAUUACUUUUGUAAUUAUCUUUUUACUGGUUUUCUAGAAUAAAAAUCUAUAAAACUUUGUACCUUGUGGAGUCUACAAGUCUAUUUCUCCUCUCAUUUACCAUUUUUAAGAAACCAUGAACACAGGGUCAGGGCCAACCUGUUGAGUCAAUCCAUAACAAUAAACACCCUGACCAUCCACCAUAGACCUUCUCAGAAGGGAGAAAGUUGAUAAACAACUCUUGGCUGAAGAUAAGUGAAGAGGCUGACUAGCAAUGGCCACUAGCCUACUUCUCUUGCAUUCUUUAUCGAAAUGUCACUAUUCUAUAACUAAUGUUAUAAGUCUUAUCAGAAAAGGAGGUUAAAUUAUAUCAAAACUAUUUUGCCAUCUAUCAAGGUAUGUUUUUGUCCUUUUAAGUACUAAGAUGAAAAUGUAUGCCAUACCUUUCCAGUGACUGACUCAUUCUUGAAUUCCUAAAAUAAACCCUUGUUAGUGAUGUAUUUUACUUUUGUUAUAGUCCUAGAUUAGAUUUCUUAAAACUUGAUUUUGUACUCUUUAAGUACGCAUACUCUGUUUCCCAGAUUUUAUUAUUGGAAUUAUGCUAAUUUAUACAGUUAAUUGAAAAGGCUUCCUUGAUUCUCUUUUUUCUAGAAAACUACAUAGUGAAGGAAUUAUUGACACCUUGAAGUUUUCAUUGGAUUCACCUGUAAUUAUGACCAAAUUGGUUUGGGGGUAUAUUCACUAGUUUGCCAAUUUAUAUUCUAGAUAGCAGUUAGCUGGGAUUUCUAAUUUUUCUUCAGUGAAUUUAUAUCUAUUUAUUCUAGAUUUUCAAAUAGAAGAACAGAAAGUAGCAAACACUAAUAUAUCUGAGUGUUUCUCUCUUUUUUUAGUUCAUAAUGUAUGGAUUUUUCUUUUCUUUCUUUUUUCUUUCACUUCUUUAGGCCUCCCUGGGAUUUAUCUAUGUUAUGAACCAUAACAUAGCACGAAAUAAUGGCUUUAGCAAGAUGCUGAUUAUGCUCUAUUCUGUUUCAUAAUUUCAGCUUUUAUGUCUGUAGCUACCUCCUAUUUUCCAAAUAUGGAUUUUUUUCCUGUUUUCUGGUUUCUUGAAGUGAAUUGUUAGGUUAUUUGUUUCAUAUUGUUUUAUCAUUAAGCAUUUGGAAAUUUGAAUUUAUUUUAGUGAAGUUCAGUUCACUUUCAGUUUAUGUAUUUUCAAGCUCAUUGCUUUCUAGGUAAUUUAUAACUAUCAUUUUGAUUUAUUCAAUGAUUUUAGAAUUUAGAAGAAUCAAUAGUCUAAGUCAUUUAUGUUUGUAUUUAUUAUUUUGUUUUUAAAUUCCAGUUUUAUUGCAUUUUUUCAGGGAUGUAGAGAUGAAUGUGGAAAAUCACUUCAGAAAUAUAUAUGAACGUAGAUAUGGAGUAGAAGCUAUCAUCUAAUUAAAAUAAUGUAAAGGGGGUAAAUGCUGAAUAAUUUUAUUUGUAAUAGUAAGAUGAAUUCAUCAGAUGAAGCACUGUCAUUACAAACUCAAACAUGAUAUUGCAAGUAUUUAUUCUGUGAUUUAAUAGAAAAAUGUUGACAUGUUUUCAUGGAAGAAAAUAAAAACUUACACAAAAGUAGUGUCAUAGGACACUUGAAAAGGACAAAUGAAAAGGACAAAUAAUGUCGUUGAUGUGCCAAGAAUGAUGAUAUAAACCCUAUUACAAGGCAAAAGAUGUGCUACUUAAUAUUAUGUCCAACCUGCUAUGAUUUCACCACGCAGAACUUACUGAAAUGUUACCUUUUCCGUCAUGGGAUCCAUUGUUAAAUUCAACAGUUAGCACUAACACCUUAAACGAGUGUAGCCAAAGGCCAUCACUUAGUGCAUCUGAGCAUUUUAAUGUAGAGAAUCAUGAAAAGAACUGAGGUUUUCAGGUUUCAGAAUAUACGUAACAAUUUGACUGCAUAGGUUAGUUCUAAUUAUAUUCUAAUGAGGCUAAAUAUAAGGAUUCAGUUUUUAUUAUAGUAAAUGACUUAUAGAUUAUAUUUUUCCUUCAUUACCUCUUAAUUUAAUUAUGUUAUCACAAUUGUCAGUUCUAAAACAGUAAAAGGAUAUUUCUCAUUAGAAGAUGUAUUGGUCAAUUUGGUCAGAAAUCCUUCACUCAAUUUCACUUACAGAUGUGAUGUGCACAUCUUCAGACCAAUCCAUUUGUCUGUCACAAUACGGCACGGGAGCUAAAAAAGGCUCUGGUUGGCUGAUCAAAUGCAACUUCCCAUUUCAAGGGUUUAUAAUUUCAUUAUAAAAAUUAACUUCUGUCUGACUCUAGCUAGAGGCUCUCAAAAUUUGGAAGACAUUAUUUCUGGAUAUCUCUAAUUUCAAAUACACUAAUUUUAUAGAAUUUCGUACUGACCAACUUGAGCAUAAUAGUUCAUAUAAUUUUAAAGCUUACUCCAAUUAAUAUUCUUUCUGAAUCAUUUUGCAUAAGCAUCCUCCCAGUGAUGUGAAACAAUGUUGCCCAGUUCAAAUAAGCAUUAAGUGUUGAGGUAAUGUAAAAGAAACAAGGAUGAAGUCUGAGAAAUUCUAAGGAACAAGACAAUUUUGUGAUCUGGUAAUGAAAAGAGCAAAGAGAAAAAGAGAUCUUCAAGGAAGAUAAGUAAUACAAAUUCACAGCUUAUACUUACAUAGACACCAGUAUAAUGUAGGUAUGAAUACCACUUAAAAUUUUUAAUCACCAAAUACUCAGUUAAAUACUUUGGGCAGAGAAGUAUUUAUGUCCACUCUAAGCUGAUUAUGAUAGUCCUGUUAUUUUUGACUAGGGAUUGAUUUAGUCAUGCACAUACGAUAAAACUCUGACCAAUGAGAUGUGAGGCUAUCCGUUGGAGAGAUUCUGAGAGGGUUCUGCUCACUCUUUAAAGGAGAAAUAAAGUACAUUAGAAUUAUUUUUACUUGUAAGAUUUCCACCUGCUGGUGACGACUGGAAUUGCAGCAUUAAUGUUGAAACCCUGACGGGAGCCUCUUACGCUAACAUGCAAAGGACUGCAGAGAAGAAAAUGGAAACAGACAAAAGAAUCAUGACAUCCCUGAGCUAUUGAGUUAAACAUACCUAGACCCGCUGUCCUAUGUGAACCUAGAAGGGUGGCUGUUACGUGAGAUAAAAAUUGUCCUUAAGCCAAUUAAAUUUUUCCUUCCAAUGUUUUUGUUUGUUUGUUUUGUUUUUCGGUAGAAGAAUGUGAG